CAGCACCUCAAGUGGUCAGGAUGAUUAUUGGGCCUAAAGCAUCCGUAGCCGGCGCUGUAAGUUUUCGGUUAAAUCUGUACGCUCAGCGUACAUGCUGCCGGGAAUACUGCAGCGCUAGGGAGUGGGAGAGGUAGACGGUACUCGGUAGGAAGGGGUAAAAUCCUUUGAUCUAUUGAUGACCACCUGUGGCGAAGGCGGUCUACCAGAACACGUCCGACGGUGAGGGAUGAAAGCUGGGGGAGCAAACCGGAUUAGAUACCCGAGUAGUCC
rnacentral:rRNA from 1 species